rnacentral:rRNA from 1 species
UACGAAGGGGGCUAGCGUUGUUCGGAAUCACUGGGCGUAAAGCGCACGUAGGCGGACUUUCAAGUCAGGGGUGAAAUCCCGGGGCUCAACCUCGGAAUUGCCUUUGAUACUGUAGGUCUCGAGUCCGGAAGAGGUGGGUGGAAUUCCUAGUGUAGAGGUGAAAUUCGUAGAUAUUAGGAAGAACACCGGUGGCGAAGGCGGCCACUGGUCCGGUACUGACGCUGAGGUGCGAAAGCGUGGGGAGCAAACAGG